rnacentral:rRNA from 1 species
CUACGGGCGGCAGCAGUGGGGAAUAUUGGACAAUGGGCGAAAGCCUGAUCCAGCCAUGCCGCGUGUGUGAAGAAGGCCUUCGGGUUGUAAAGCACUUUCAGUGGGGAAGAAAGCCUUGGGGCUAAUACCCUCGAGGAAGGACAUCACCCACAGAAGAAGCACCGGCUAACUCCGUGCCAGCAGCCGCGGUAAUACGGAGGGUGCGAGCGUUAAUCGGAAUUACUGGGCGUAAAGCGCGCGUAGGCGGUCUGAUAAGCCGGUUGUGAAAGCCCCGGGCUCAACCUGGGAACGGCAUCCGGAACUGUCAGGCUAGAGUGCAGGAGAGGAAGGUAGAAUCCCCGGUGUAGCGGUGAAAUGCGUAGAGAUCGGGAGGAAUACCAGUGGCGAAGGCGGCCUUCUGGACUGACACUGACGCUGAGGUGCGAAAGCGUGGGUAGCAAACAGGAUUAGAUACCCCUGUAGUC